rnacentral:rRNA from 1 species
UACGUAGGGAGCGAGCGUUGUCCGGAUUCAUUGGGCGUAAAGAGCUUGUAGGCGGUUUGUCGCGUCUGCUGUGAAAAUCCGGGGCUCAACCCCGGACUUGCAGUGGGUACGGGCAGACUAGAGUGUGGUAGGGGAGACUGGAAUUCCUGGUGUAGCGGUGGAAUGCGCAGAUAUCAGGAGGAACACCGAUGGCGAAGGCAGGUCUCUGGGCCACUACUGACGCUGAGAAGCGAAAGCAUGGGGAGCAAACAGG